GGAGAGAUGGCAGAGUGGUUGAUUGCGCUUCCCUGCUAAGGAAGCGGGCCGAAAGGUUCCGUAGGUUCGAAUCCUACUCUCUCCG
rnacentral:tRNA from 1 species